ACAUUGUCUCUUUCUCUUUUGCAUACAAGGAUAUGCCACCCUCUGGCUUUUUUUCUUAAAUCAUAGUUUAUUCUUGUUGAUGCCUAAAACUCCUUUGUUAUCUUCCAGAAGCUUUGGUCAUCACUGUGGAAUUCCUGGUAUGAGAAGACAGAGCUCAGGGUAGAGAGAGGAUCCUUGCUGAACUGCUGUAAUCAUGAAGACAGUGAUUUUAAUUGUCUUAAUCAUCUUCACUUUGCUGUCUUCAGGGAAGAAAUUCCGAUGGUGCACCCUUUCUGACCUAGAGCAGAGGAAGUGUGCUGAACUGUCUAAAGCACUCAUGGCUGUGGUGCCCCUUGCUGCUGUCAAUUCAUUUGCCAGGAUUUCUUGCAUCAGAGCUCACAACACAUAUGACUGCAUUGAUAAAAUCAGGGUGAAUAAAGCCGAUGCUGUCUCCUUGGAUGCUGGAGAAGUUUACUCUGCUGUAAAGCUCUAUGGUUUGACAGUUGCGGCAAAGGAAAUCUAUGACCAAGGAAAUUGUGUGUUUGCUGUGGCCAUUGCCAAACGAGGAACUCUGGAUAUCCGGAGGCUACGAGGUGUGCGCAGCUGCCACAAUGGAGCCAGGUGGACAUCCGGCUGGAAUAUUCCACUUGGCUUUCUUCUUGCAAGCAAUUAUCUUUCCUGGGAUGAGGAGCAACCUCUGAGUCAAGUAGUCAGUGAGUAUUUCAAUGGAAGUUGCAUCCCUGGGGUUGGUGUUGCUGCUCCUCAACUGUGUGCUCUCUGCCAAGGACAAAAAUCCUAUGUCAGAGACAAGAACCACUUCUGUGAGACGAGCAGUAAUGAACCCUUCUAUGACUCUGAAGGAGCCUUCAGGUGUUUGAAGACUGGAGUGGCAGAUGUUGCCUUUUUAGAUCAUCUAACAAUUAUGAGUGCUACAGAGUCAGAGCAACAGGAAUAUGAACUCCUAUGUCCUGAUGGGACUACAGCUGAGCUGACUGAGUACAGCGUCUGUAACUUGGGCAAGGGGCCUGGACGUGGCAUCAUCACCCGCCACAACUUCCAGAAGAUCACCCAUAAAUUUCUCACCAUGAUCCAACGCCUCUUUGGGCGAAAAGGAAAGGAAAGAGCUAGGUUUGAACUCUUCACUUCAGCACCCUUUGGGGGAAAGAACCUGCUGUUCCAGGAUGCCACUCAGCACCUACAGCUUCUUGAGGAGCAGCUGGAGAUUGCCUAUGUCCUUGGUCUGGACUAUGUAUCUCUCCUUAAGGGACUAGGACAUGAAGGCAGCUCUUUGGACAACAGCAUUGUGCGCUGGUGCUGCAUCAGUGAUGCUGAGCUUCACAAAUGUGAGGAGUGGGCACUGAGCAUCAAAUCUGACCCACUGGUCUGUGUCCAAGCAACUUCCAUGACCAAAUGCAUUGAAAUGAUCAAGAGUAGUGAGGCUGAUGCAGUCACCCUGGAUGCAACACAUGUCUACAUUGCAGGAAAGUGUGGAUUGGUGCCUGUAGCUGCAGAAUGUUAUGGGGGAGAUUGUGCCCAGGCUGCUGAGAGCAUGGGGGAAAUGAGGAAGCUAAUUCAUCUGAAGCGCGAAGGACUGCCACCUGUUUAUGCUGUUGCACUAGCUAAGAAAAAUGCCAAACAGAUUAACAUCCAUAAUCUUAGGGGAAGGCGAUCCUGCCACAGCCACCUGUAUAGUCCUGGAGGAUGGUUACUUCUUUCCAGAUAUGCAUUGAGAGCUCUGGAGAAUGACACUGAGAGCUGUGAUAUUGGCUCUGUUUACCAGAAUUACUUUUGGAAGAGCUGCAUGCCAGGAGCAGAUGGAAACCUGUGCAAGGUGUGCAUUGGAGACGGUGAGGUGGAAGGGGCUCGAGUAUCUAGCAGAUGUGCUGCAAGUCACAACGAACGUUACUAUGGCAAUAUGGGAGCACUCAGGUGCCUAGUUGGCAAUCCCAGUGGAAGAAGCUUCGGAGAUGUAGCUUUCCUGGAACAUUCUAACCUCCUCCAGAACAUAAAGAAUCUGGAUAUUUCUGGUUGGGCAAAGGGCUAUACCCCUAUUGACUUUGAACUCUUGUGUCUGGAUGGAACACGUGCUGCAGUCACAGAAUGGGCAGGCUGUAACCUUGGCCCCAUUCCCCCCAGCACAGUCAUGACUCGACCGGUCACUGUCACUAAAAUCUAUGACUUUCUAAUGAAAUCCCAGGAAUCUCUGGGAAGCAAAUUGAAUUCUGAAUUCCAACUCUUUCAAUCAUGGAAGUAUGGUGAAAGUGAUCUGCUUUUCAAAGACACUACUCAGUACCUUGUUCAUGCCAGUCACAUGAGCUAUCAGGAAAUUCUUGGAGCGCCUUUCUUUCAGCUGGCAGAAUCAGUGUUUAACUGUACACCUGCAGGCAUCUUAGACUUCUGCAAACAGGAUAUCUGUGCAUCUUCAUCGAACUGACAGUUAAUAAGAGGCUUUGCGAGGCACAUACAUCAUCGUUGAUAUUGAAAACAGGGAAAGCUGGAAGUCCAACCUAUCCAAAGCAAUCAGCAAGGAGCAGCAGAGGCCAGUCUGCAUAACCUGCACAGAACUAGCAUCAGCAAUCCUGUACAGCUACUAAGGAGAAACCAGCAUUUUUGUGGAAAUAGCAGGGCCAAUACCAUGGACUAAAAUACAGACUGUCAGGAGUGGCACAGAUAAAUAUAAAAUCUUUAUCUUUGCCAUCCCAAAGUUGGAAAAGAAUAGAAGGAACAUGCAGCACCUAGCAUCCUGACAUCAGUCAAACAGAAAGAACAGAGAUCCAAGUAAGGAAACAAACUUCUCUAGUAUCAGAUAUUCAUUUAAUAAGCAGUGGCACAACAUGUUUGAAAGUAACAGAAUUGCUCUGUGCAAUGAGCUACAUGGUGUUUGCAUUAAUGCCCUUCCACACUUCUCCAUUACACGAUCCAGUCAGUUUACUUCACUAACUUUUUAAUCAGAAAGCUGUUCUUGCAAUAAGCUGCCAAAAGCUGAAAGCCAAACUGACAUAAGCAAUGUCUUUCUGAGAAAAUUUAUGAUCCCACUACUCAGAAUAAAUGCCAGAGCUCAAGAGACUCACCAAAUCUCAUGACCUUCAGUCUGUAGUGCUUCCAUAUUCUGUAUAGGUAAGUGCGGUGUGAUGGCAUAGCUGGUUCCAAAGAAUGAACAAAACAAAACAAAGACAGACAGAAAUUAGGUCUACACUAUAAAACAGUUGAGGGGAAAAUUGUUAGUAUAAACUCGACUGGAAGACAAAAAACUGCUAGCAUCAGGAAUGGGAAUGAAAGACUAAAACAAUGAAAGAACAAGCCACAUCUGCCAUUUAGUCCACUAAAUUUCACUGACAGCUUGCUAGGGAAAUAGUCCUACUU